GCUCGGGGCGUCCUGGACCCGGCCCGGCGGCGAGGGUCUGUGCGCAGGGGCCGGCCCCGGCUCCCCCGGGGCCCCCGGAGCUGAUUUCCACGCGGAGAGGAUGUUGGCAGCCCCGGCGACCUGCCGUGGCGCGGCGGGAUCCACCGUCCAUCCUGUGGUCACAGCAAAUCUUUCUAAAAGUCUAACCAGCGGAGAAGGUGGUUGUAUGGAUCCUCUGAACCCUGAGUGGAACUUCCUGGAAGAUUUCUUAGGAGAGAGACCUUGCGGGAAGCAGCAGCCGGACACAUGGAAUCACUGGCUGGGCAGAGCCUGGUGGCCUGGUCUCUGCUGUUGGAGAGGAGUCACGUCUCAGAGGCCUGAUCGUUGGACCAGAAAGGAAUUACAAAGAUGCCUGUCGUGAUGGCUGUGCCUGUCGGUCGCAUGGGGCUUCACUCGAGGAUUUUCUGAGCCUUACGGAUUUACAGUGACAUCCAGCUGCCUGGGGAAUAAUGGUGGUGGAAACCUGUUCUGGAAUUCCGUACGCCCGGCACCUGUCUGGGUGCUAACGGCGGUUUUAAGGAAGGCGGUGGCCGAGAGCCCCGUGGAUCCCUGCAGCCUGGAUGCCCGUGGGGGACAGAGGACCACGGCUUCCUGUGAGGGCUGAGAUCUCUGUCCUUAUCUCCACACAAGUGUCUGGUUGGGUCUCUGCCAGCCCUGUGACACGUAGGGCCUGCCUCCUCCUUGCGCACACAUCCUCUGCGUGUCCUGUCAGUUGUUCACCUGGGUGUGAGGUGACACUGGCCCGGCGGGCGGGAGAGAAGUCCCAGUGAUGGAGCCGGUUCUCACCGGGAGCUGCCAUUUGCUGGCUCCCUCCGUGCACCUGGCUGGGUGCUGGGCGUGUGGGGGAGACAGGAGAUUGCACGGAGCGCCCCCCAGGAGCUGCAGCUGCUCCCCGGACGGAUGUCGUCAUGCCUGUGUCCGCCUUGACGGAUUUCCUGGCUCGUGUGCCUGUCUCCACCCCCCGGGCCACGAGGGCCUGGAAGGCCAAGACCUCAUCCUCGUGAGGUGUGGUUUGAGGACCUAGCACCGUGCCCCGCACAGAGUGUCCCUGGCUGCGGAGAGGGCGUUCAGGGAUGCAGACGCUGAGAGUGAAUGGGAACAGGAGGCCUGGCUCUGUGCUUAAAGCCAGAAACACACUGCUGGGUGUUUGCGGGACCAGCAUGCGGCCUGGCUUUGCAUCUCUGAGCCGCCCCUGCGGUGUGACUCGGGCCAGGGGCUGCUGCACGCCCUUCCCUUCUCCGCUCAGUGGAGGUGACGUGUGCUGUCAUCUUUCGUCCGGGUCGUGUUGAGGAUCACCAAGCAGAGGCUCGCGAUGACACCUGGCAUGGUGCCCGGCACACUGCAAAGGCUCAGCACAUGAAUCCUGUCAUACCUGGGAUUUUGGUGCCUUCAAUCCAGGAAAAAAAAACACCUGUAUAUCCCUUUGGUGCCGUAGAAGGACCGAGAACUGUCCUUCCCUGAACUAAAGCCAGACCAUUUGGGGAUUUGGAGAAUAAAGGAUCUGCUAUUUACUGAACAUGCCUGUGAUCAUGGCAUCAGGCUCCUGGGAGUCGACGCGGCCCUGGAGCCCUGGUCUUGCUCUUUGUGACCCACUGGACUGCCUUGCUUUUCAGAUGUGCUCCCCACGUCACAGGAGCUGCUCACAUCAGUCAGAUCAGGCUAUGAUUUUGGCAGAGUUCUGAGCUCCUGUAGAGAUUUGCCUCUCACCAGCCUUGGGCUAUCUGCAUUCUUAAACAUCUCAGGCUCCAGAAGGAAAAGAAGAAUCUUGACCAGCUCUGGGAAUGGCCUGAAUGAAAAGAGGUUCCUUUCAUCAUGACAGCAUGUCUCUGAUGGCCUCCAAUCCACAGAGGAUGACAGACUUGGAGCUGAUUCCAAAUUCACACCUUGAAUGGAGCCGCACUCAGACAAGUCCUCCCAGCAUUAGCCAGAGUCCUAGCUGACUAGCAGGCAUGGUGGCUGAGCCCUGCAGGGUGAUUCUUCUGUUCCACUUGGAAUCAGUGUGGCUGCGUUCACGGUCCAGCCGGACCUUCUCUCCAGUGUGGCGGUGGGAACCCCCCAAGUGCCUAGUGUGAAAGCUGCCCGGCCUCACAAUAGCAAGGCUCAAAAUUGAGACGACAUCACCUCCGUCACAUUCUGCUGGCCAAGCCCAGCUUCAGGGGCAGGAGAAACAGACUCUAACUGGAUGGGAGAAACAGCAUGCAUGUGCAGAAAUGGAAGGAAUUCUUGGCAAGCCUCACUGGACGCAGCCAACCCCAGGGCAUAAGUUGCUUUUAAGGUUUAUGACUCUCAGCCUCUACUGUUUAACCUCUUGGGUUAUCUGUCAUAAUCUGGUUCCUCAUCAGGAAAAUGGGGAGACUAUUAGUCCUAAGGCAGAGCAUACGGGAGGACAUGCCCACAUGGAUAUGGACAAGUGACCUCUUCCUGUGCACAUUUGAUGACAUGGGGACAUCUCUGAUGACACGGCUGUGGGCCCCAGGGUGGUCUGGCCCUGUUGGCGGAGAAUCCUUCGGAUUCGGGAGGCCCUCGGCUCUGCCUUGGUUUCCCUCUCUGCAGGUGAGAGAACUAUCACUCAGAAAUGUUAAAUAACUCAGCAGAGGUCACACAGCUAAAUGACACAGAGGAGUGUCCCAAGUGGUGAAGGUCAUUUUCCAUCACUGCUGUCUUCCAUGAGCCUGUGUCUGGAGUGGGGCCUGUCUUUGUGCUCAUGAGCAGGUUGGAUGGAGACCAGAAAUCACUUGAUAGAGGGAGAGGCCCAGCGAUGACACUGACCCAGAGAGAAUCGAAGCCCUGUGCCCAGUAACUAGAAGACACACUGAACUGGAGAGAUGAGCCUAGCACAUCGCCAUGUUUCCCCCAUGUGGGAGAACACCCGCCCUCCAGCCCUCACCCAUCACACAGGAUACACUGAGCGGAUUUGGUCACUGCUGAGCUCUCUUCAUUUAAUGUGGCUUUGCCAGAAUAGUUGGUCUGGAAAUUAAAAAAAAUUUUUUUUUGUUUUAUUUAUUUUUGAGAGAGAGAGAGACAGCUUGAGCAGGGG